AGGCAACAUGUCCCUGUCCCAGGCAGACUUUGACUCUCAUGGUCUUUUUGUCUUUCACAGAUGAGGUGACCGUCUGAGCCAUGAAACAGUCUUUAAAACCCCACAAUGUGUCGCAUGGAGGAAAGAUUCUCCUUUAAACGACGGCUCGGCUCCUUCAGUGCUUUUCUCCAUCACAGCGUUGUCAUCCUUCUGCUGAGACAAUGCUGCUGUGCAGGUCACUCCCAAGUGGUUGCUCCAUCUUUGCCAAUAGUAGCAAUGGUUGGGGAUGACAUCAUUUUGCCAUGCCGCCUGGACCCCCCUGUGGAUACUUCAGACAUGACUGUGGAGUGGGUGAAGGACGUCACUGUCCAUACACAACCUGAGAAAUGGAGACGUGUCACUGAAGCUCUCUGGAGUGAAGCUCUCUGAUGAGGGAAACUACAGAUGCUUCAUCCCUACACUUGCUAAAGAAACUACCGUCAAGCUUGUUGUUGGUGAGUGAAUAUCUGGAAUCUUUAAGUUUUGCCCUUUCUUUGUGAGCUCAGACCAGUAUAUAUUUCUGUGUUCAUGUUUGUAUCUUGUUCAAAUGUAAAAAAAAAAAAAUUGAGUUAGAGAACCUUAUGAAUGAAUAAAGACUGGCCCAGAAGAGUACCAUUAAUAAUGACAUGGUUCUUUCAUAAAUGUGAGGAGGCUUUUACAACAUAAGUCCAAGCUGCUGCAGAGCUCAUCAAAGGGAAAGAAGCUCAGUGAUAUAUUGAGAUACUUCGAGAUGGGUCAAAGGUUAAAGGCUUUAUAUGCGAUUUUUUGAUCCAGCAGAUGUCGCCCUUGAGCACCAGCAUGAAACCAAAACAACUUGC